AACGAACGUUGGCGGCGUGGAUUAGGCAUGCAAGUCGAACGAAUCUUACUGGUGUAGCAAUACAUCGGUGGGGGAAGUGGCGAAAGGGGCAGUAAUGUAUGGGUAACCUACCUCAGGGUCGUGGAUAGCCUUCCUAACGGAUGGGUAAUACACGGCGAUUCGACGAGAUGGCAUCAUCUUGUCGGGAAAGAAUUUCGCCUUGAGAGGGGCUCAUAUCGUAUUAGCUAGNGGUGAGGUAACGGCUCACCAAGGCUAAGAUGCGUAGCGGGUGUGAGAGCACGGCCCGCGCCACUGGCACUGAGACACUGGCCAGACACCUACGGGUGGCUGCAGUCGAGGGUCUUCGGCAAUGGGCGCAAGCCUGACCGAGCGACGCCGCGUGAAGGAUGAAGG
rnacentral:rRNA from 1 species